AAGACCAAAGAGGGGGACCUUCGGGCCUCUUGCCAUCAGAUGUGCCCAGAUGGGAUUAGCUUGUUGGUGAGGUAACGGCUCACCAAGGCGACGAUCCCUAGCUGGUCUGAGAGGAUGACCAGCCACACUGGAACUGAGACACGGUCCAGACUCCUACGGGAGGCAGCAGUGGGGAAUAUUGCACAAUGGGCGCAAGCCUGAUGCAGCCAUGCCGCGUGUAUGAAGAAGGCCUUCGGGUUGUAAAGUACUUUCAGCGGGGAGG
rnacentral:rRNA from 2 species